rnacentral:lncRNA from 1 species
UGAAGAGAGCAGUGGUUCUCCCAGCAUGGCAUUCAAGCUCCGAUAACAGACAAACUGCCUCCUCAAGUGGGUCCCUGACUCCCUUGUAGCCUGCCUGGGAGACACCUCCCAGUAGGGGCCGACAGACACCUCAUACUGACGGGUGCCCCUCUGGGACGAAGCUUCCAGAGGAAGGAUCAGACAGCAAUAUUUGCUGUUCUGCAGCCUCCGCUGGUGAUACCCAGGCAAACA